rnacentral:hammerhead_ribozyme from 1 species
GCACUGCUGACGAGUCCCAAAAUAGGACGAAACAGCUGUCCAGUGC